rnacentral:rRNA from 1 species
GGUGGAUGACUUGGCUUAAUCGUCGAUGAAGGGCGUGGCAAGCUACGAUAUGCCCCAGUUAGUUGCAAGCAAACUUUGACCUGGGGAUUCCUGAAUGUGACAUCACAAUAGGUCCGAAAGGACAGAGAACUCCGGGAAGUGAAACAUCUCAGUACCGGAAGGAAAAGAAAUCAAUUGAGAUGCUGUCAGUAAAGGCGAUUGAACACAGCACAGAGCAAACCGAAUCUGCUCAGUAAUGAGUAAGAAAUGUGGUGUUAGGAUUCUCUUUUAGUCCGAAAAUUUUUUUCUGAAGUUUUCUGGAAAGAAAUGCGAUACAGGGUGAUAGCCCCGUAAGGAAAAAAUUUGGAUGUGAGAAUAUCCAGAGUACUGCAUCUUGGAUACGAUGUGGGAACGCGGGAGGCAUUGACUUCUAACUCUAAAUACGUAUUAAGUCCGAUAGCAAACAAGUACAGCGAUGGAAAGUUUAAAAGAACCCUUAACAGGGAGUUAACAGAGCCUGAAACCUAAUAGUUAUCGCGUGAUAGGGUUUUAAGGAAUUCUAUCGUACGUUUUGAAUAACGGGCCAGGAAGUUAUUUCUUGUGGCGAGAGUAAUUCGAAAAGAAGUACUCGAAGCGAAAGCGAAAACUCGCAAGCAAUGAGGAGUUUCGUCAUAAUAGGCGAAAAGUCACAGGGAAUAGACCCGAAGCCGGGUGAUCUAAUCGUUAGUAAGGUGAAGCGAAGGUAAAACUUCGUGGAGGCCUGAAGAGGUAUUGUGUGCAAGCAUUUUUCUAACUGACGAUUAGGGGUGAAAAGCCAAUCGAACCCGGUUAUAGCUGGUUCCUAUCCAAGUUGGCCGCAGUCAAGUCUCGGAUGAGAUAGUUAAAUUGGUAGAGAUACGGAUUAGAGAUUUAGGACUCGAAAGAGUUCGGUUUUUUGUCCAACUCCGAAUAUUCUAGUUCCGUAGAUCUCGGGAGACGGGGUUCCGGGGUAAACUUGGAAUCCGCGAGGGGAACAACCCAGACUAUGGUUAAGGUCCCNNAAAAAGUGCGUAACAGCUUACUUAUCAAGAAGGUGAGCCUUUAAAAUGGACGGGGCUAAAUUGAUUACCGAUACUACAGACAAUGGCAACAUUUGUGAUAGAUAGGCGUUGUGGCAGGGCAGAAGCAAGUUUGAAAAGACUCGUGGACCUGUCAUAAUUGAAGAUCCUGGCGGUAGUAGGAACAUAGUGCAGUUAGAGUCUGCACCACUGAAAGGGCAAGGGUUCCUNNGGGAAACUGGUUAAUAUUCCAGUCCUGCUUAAAUAUGCGUGGCAACACAAGCAUUAUUUCUGACACUUUCGGCUAGACGGACACAAAUUGUUAUUUGUGUUAAUGAGAACAAAUCAAGGGAGUAUCGUAAUGAUGAGAANNGGUGCCCCUAGGUGAGAAGCCUCAAGUGUGAGGGAUUAAAUUAGUUAAGGGAAUUCGGCAUAUUGGCCCCGUGCCUUCGGCAUAUGGGGUCCCUGCUUUUGUAUAUCGAAUUUAUUCUGUAUGCGAUAGCAGGGUGCAAUAACUACGACGGUCCGACUGUUUACCAAAAACGUAGAUUUGUGCUAAGCUGUAAAGCUUUGUAUACAAAUUGACAUCUGCCCAGUGCCUGUAUCCGAAACUCCGGUUCAACGGAGCUAACGACAGGUAAACGGCGGGAGUAACUAUAACUCUCUUAAGGUAGAAUAUUUCACUGCUUUAAGUCCCAAAAGAGUAAACAGAGAAAAAACAUGGGAUAAAAAUUUGGCUAUAUGCUGGAACAUCUGAGAAUCUCAGACUACUUUUCCACAGGACAAGUGCUCACAAAGCAUUUAAACUGCAGGAAAAGUAAAAACGUUAUGAGUGCAGAUAAUCAGCACGCAACCCUUAAGUUAGCUUGGCUUGCUGGAAUAAUUGAUGGAGAAGGAUCAUUAAUGAUUCCUCGAUACCAUCGAAAUGGAAAUAUUCGGUAUGGUUACAGAGUAAGUAUAUCUAACACGAAUAUGUUGAUAAUAAAUCAAUGUAGAGAAAUUUUAGAUAUACUGAAAAUAAAAUAUUGUAACUAUACGCAGGAUAGAGGAAACGAUGGGUUGAGAAGAAAAAUAACUCAUCAAGUCCACAUUACAAACAGAAAAGGAAUUUUGGUUUUUCUUGAAAAAAUCAUUCCUCAUCUCGUUGGUAAAAGAAAGCAAGCAGAACUCUUGAAUAAAUUUCUAAACAAUUGGGAAAGCAUAGACAAAAACGAUGCUUACUUAAUAUUUAGGAAAUUAAACGAGAGAGUACCAAGAUAACAAAAGGAGAGUCGUCAGAGACUAAACGCCAAACAUCGAAAAUGAUGAAGAUAUAGUCCGAACUUAUAUGCGAAUAUAAGAGACAAACAGAAAUGUUUGUACGUUUUCUAACACAAUCUCGACAAAGUCGAGCUGUGCCCAUUAAAAUGGGAAAGAAAAUUGUAACAGAUACGAGCGAAAUACCUUGUCGUUUGAAUGACGACGUGCAUGAAUGGUGGAACGAGAUCGUCACUGUCCCUAACUAACAUCCCCUGAAUACAGUAUUCUGGCGUAGAGGCCAGAGAAUUCCAGUGGGAAGCGAAGACCCCGUGAAACUUUACUGUAGCUUGUAGCUGUGGAGCGAGUUUUGUUGCAUAGCGUAAACGGUAGAGGUUAUGUGCAAGCCUUAGGGCUUGCAAUACUCGACAAUGUAACACCGUUCUUUAGAACUUGCCCCACUUACCUUGCAAAAGGAACAACUAUAGGUGGACAGUUUGGCUGGGGUGGCACACCGUUGAAAUGAUAUCGACGGUGCCCAAUGGUUAACUCAAUCGGGUCAGAAAUCCGAUGAAGAGUGCAAGAGCAAAAGUUAGCCUGAUUGAAUUUACAAUAACCCUAAAUUCAAACACGAAAGUGUGGUCUAGCGAUCCCCUGUACUUCCUUAAUGGGAGUCAGGUGUGACGGAAAAGUUACUCCGGGGAUAACAGAGUUGUCGCGCCCGAGAGUUCACAUCGACGGCGCGGCUUGCUACAUCGAUGUCGGCUCUUCCUAUCCUGGCCGUGCAGAAGCGGCCAAGGGUGGGGGUGUUCACCCAUUAAAAGGGAUCGUGAGCUGGGUUCACAACGUUAGUAACAUAGCGUUGCAUAUUCGUAAGAAUGUGAAUUCCAAUCUCGAAAGAGAUGAACCGUUUUAACUUCAUGUUAAAAUUUGGAAAUAAAAUUGGCUAAUAUCGGUGGAACCUAAAAUCUUUUUUUGAGCAGAAAAGAAAUGGCAAUACCGAGGGAAGUUUAUUUGAAAGAAUAUAACCCCGUAGAGACUGAGGAUUAAGUUCCGAGAAUGUUCUUGUUAGAACAUUAAGACGCCGAUCUCCUUCGCAAGAAGGAUGAUGAUAUAGUCCAUACCAAUCGAAAGAUUUGGAACAAUAUGUGUGAGACAGUUGGUUUGAUAUCUACUGGAAUUGUUUGAAAUCUGAGGGGAAGGGACUUCUAGUACGAGAGGAACGGAGUCCCGUGGCCUCUGGUCUAUCGGUUAUUCAACAGAGUAUGCCGAGCAGCUACGCCAUAAAGGAUAAAUUCUGAAAGCAUCUAAGAAUGAAGCCUUCCUCGAAAAGAGAUUUCGUAGAACGC